CCUACGGGUGGCAGCAGUGGGGAAUAUUGGACAAUGGGGGCAACCCUGAUCCAGCCAUGCCGCGUGUGUGAAGAAGGCCCUCGGGUUGUAAAGCACUUUCAGUGAGGAAGAACGCCUGGUGGUUAAUACCCAUCAGGAAAGACAUCACUCACAGAAGAAGCACCGGCUAACUCCGUGCCAGCAGCCGCGGUAAUACGGAGGGUGCGAGCGUUCAUCGGAAUUACUGGGCGUAAAGCGCGCGUAGGUGGCUUGAUAAGCCGGUUGUGAAAGCCCCGGGCUCAACCUGGGAACGGCAUCCGGAACUGGCAAGCUAGAGUGCAGGAGAGGAAGGUAGAAUUCCCGGUGUAGCGGUGAAAUGCGUAGAGAUCGGGAGGAAUACCAGUGGCGAAGGCGGCCUUCUGGACUGACACUGACACUGAGGUGCGAAAGCGUGGGUAGCAAACAGGAUUAGAUACCCGAGUAGUC
rnacentral:rRNA from 1 species